rnacentral:rRNA from 1 species
GAUGAACGCUAGCUACAGGCUUAACACAUGCAAGUCGAGGGGUAACGAGAGGAAAGCUUGCUUUCCUUGUCGACGACCGGCGCACGGGUGAGUAACGCGUAUCCAACCUGCCCCCAACUAAGGAAUAACCUUGCGAAAGUAAGACUAAUACCUUAUAAUUUCCUCAGAUGACAUCUGACGAGGAAUAAAGAUUUAUCGGUUGUGGAUGGGGAUGCGUCUGAUUAGCUUGUUGGCGGGGUAACGGCCCACCAAGGCAACGAUCAGUAGGGGUUUUAGGAGGAAGGUCCCCCACAUUGGAACUGAGACACGGUCCAAACUCCUACGGGAGGCAGCAGUGAGGAAUAUUGGUCAAUGGGCGGAAGCCUGAACCAGCCAAGUAGCGUGCAGGAUGACGGCCCUAUGGGUUGUAAACUGCUUUUAUACAGGAAUAAAGUUAGCCACGUGUGGUUAUUUGUAGGUACUGUAUGAAUAAGGACCGGCUAAUUCCGUGCCAGCCGCCGCGGUAA